GGCUCAGGGAGAGGUAGAAGCCUGCUACUCUGUUGCUGACCAAGCCUGUGUUAGGCCAAGCCAUUGUAGAUAGCCUGUAUAUAAUAGGAAACUGAUGGUGGGAAAUGGACACAAAGAGCACAGGAAUUGCACCAGCUUGGAGUGUCCCUGAGUCUGUCAGGAGUGGAGCAAAGGGGCUGGGUAUGCAGGGGUGCAAUGAGCCUCCCAUUACACGUGGGGGCUUAUCCGGGAUCUGAAGCCCCUGCCAGGAAGUGGGAACCUGAGCAUGGAGGGCACUAUGCAAUGGCUUGCUAAGCAGCAGGGAGAGCUGCAAAAGACCCUCCAGGUUUUCCAGCAGUCCCACCAGGCCAAGAUAGGCCUUACUCACCUGGCAGGCUGAGCAACAAAAGAUCCUCCAGGAAUUCAUCCAGAAGCAGGCCAGUGUACAACAGCAGCUCCUGCACCAGUUGGGAGCGAAGGAACAAUCACAUAGAAUAACUGGCAAAGCAGCAACAGAAAUGGGAUGUUUGAGUGAAUGGCCAUUUGUAUUUCAAUGUUUGGAUUAAACUCUACUAUUACUUUAUUGAUACAGAAGCAAAAGCUAACAGUGUCCUUCAUCCUAAGAGAGUACAACAGCCGUAUACAAUAGAUUGGGACAUGAUGUGAAGAAAAAUGGCAUAUCCAAUGAAACUCACUGUGGAAAUUUACUGUAGGAAGGAACAAUGUAUUUGUAUUCCAACUGGAAUUUUUGCUAAAACACUAGCACUAACUCCUAUUCCUGCAAAAAAAGUACAUGGUGUGAUCAGUAUCUUAGGUUUACAUCUCAUCUGAAGUGCAUCAUCUCCAUCAGCACAGUGCCUGCUGAGAGUAUACUGAAGCACAGAUUCAGUGUUCAGUUGCAGGGAAAUGAGAUGCUUCCUGGUUUAGCAAUACCACAACUUACUGCACCUGGAGUUUUUCCUUGGAAGUUUCUGAUCCAAACACUAGUCCUGCUCUAGUCAACUGGUGAGUCCCGAUGAUAGCUCAGCUGCAGUAAUAAAACUGAAGUGCACUCUUUUUGCAGUAUAUCUUCCUCUGACUACAUCAGUAAUCAGCCAUUUAUCAGAUAAUCAGAUCUCUGCCAAACUAUGUGCCAAAUAUGAUUAUCUGACUGAUGAAUAAAUAUAAAAUGUAAUUUUAGCUAGCCCAUUUUUGUACAUAUUUCUCUUUUCAGACUGUCUUUCUGACCUUGUGAAAAAUGGCUGCAGUUGAACAAAAAAUGUGUUUUAUUUCUAGAUAAUGGACUAUGCCAACUUCCAUUUCUUAUAGAAUUCAAUAGAAACUUGGUAUAUCAAGACAUUUCCUACAUCCUUAUUUCCUUUCAGACUAUACGCUUUAAUAUACCCAAUGCCCCAAUCUUUUCUUAUAUCUCUUGACUUCAGCAAUUCCUUUUUCAAUUUCUAUUGUUUUUUUUAUGAGGCAGGGACUUUUGCUACUGAGCAGUACAUUUAGUUUUCCACACAUGUAGCUAUGAGCUAAGAAAUUACACCAGUUCCUUGAGGCCUUCGGAGCUAAGUGAUUUUGGCUCGAUCUUUUCCAGCUAUCAGCCCUUCCAUUAGUGUUAAAGGAUGCUUCAGUGAUAUUUACUUGUUAUUCUGAUCCUGCUAAUUCAUUUUCUUUUGCUUUGAUGCUGAUAGUUUGAAACUUGGGUCCCUGGAAGGGUCACACUCCCUGCUGAAAGAGUCUAAUUAAGAUGUGCUUAUAUAGUGGCACAUGGUUGUCAUAAUCCCUGAAAAGGUCUUACAGGAACAUCUGAUUUUUUUUUAAUUAUGUCUACUUCAGAGUACAGAGACACCUGCUCUGUGUAGGGGCAAUGUGUCCCUCUCCUGGUGUGCUCCAAUCUCUCCUGGGUUGCAUGUGGUCUGCACUGCCCAUGGGCAAUAUUCAUUGCUCCUACCCAAUGGCCUACCUUACAAGCUUUAUGCAGCUCCAUGUCAGACAUUUUAGGCAAAAGAUUUAAUUAGGUAAUCACAUGUUUGCAUAUUAUUUGCAUAUGGCCAUAAACUUCCAUUUGGGUAC